CAUAUUUCUUUAUUAGGUAUUAUUUAUUAUAAAUUUAUCAAAAUAGAUUAACAACUGUAUACUGUUUAAUCUUCCUUCUUUCCAUGAAUGCUAUUUUCAAAUGCUUUAUAUUGUAUUAGAAAAGGCGCACGCAUUUCGGAUGUGUUUUGUACGUGCAUAACCAUAUAAUUUCAUGUUCAGCAAUGGAUUCUUGUGUUUGUGAAUGACUACUUAUGAUGUACAAUUGUUUUAAUAGAGAGAGGUUCUUACGGUGAGAAUUUGGUUCCGAAACUGGAAAUAUUAAGUUGCAAUUGGGGGCGGUCGUGAGUGUCUAGUCCUCAAAUUUUACAACAAUAUUCUUAGAUGAUAAUGGCUGCAAUUUGGGUAUUCAAAGAGAGAUUUGAGCAAAAGGGACAUAGCUAAGUACAUAGUCAGUACUCGAACCUCCCACCCAUUUGCCUGUUGGUGACUCACCAUCUGAAAUGGUUGAAGAACCAUGGUCAGCUACUCAUGGUGAAGAACUCUUACAAGAUUCUUAGAUCUGCUACGGUACCUGCAACUGCAAAAUAUGGGCAUACUCCAUUUCUUUGGUGAUGUUAGAGAUGGCAAUUUGCCCAACCCUGCCCCGCCCUGACGGGACGGGGCGGGGUGGUACAUAAUUCCCCUCCCUAAACCCGCCCCGUGAUAUUGUUUUUUCGAGUGUUUCUUUGAUGUUAAUUUGAACAUUAUUUGUUUUGAAUUUUUAAAUUUUGAAUUUGUAUUUUAUAAUUUAAUAGUAUAACUCUAACUUUUGAAAAUGCGUAAAAAAAAUAAAAAAUAAAUGAGGCAGUAAACGGAGCAAAAAACUGCCCCGAACCCACCCGCCCCGUUUAAGGCGGGGUGGGGUUGGAGCGAGACGGGGCGGGGCGAACCCACCCCGUUGUCAUCACUAGGUGAUGUAGUAUUUUUCAUUUCCCUUCUUAUAAUUCUCUAUUUUGUAGUGUUUAUUACAAAUUUAUCAAUAUAGAUUAAUCAAUGAAUAAUGCGUUAAUCUUCAAGUUUUUCGUUAAUCCUAUUUUCAAUUGCCUUAUAUUGCACUAGAAAACGUGCACGCACUUUGGACAUGUUCUGCACGUGCAUAACUAUAUAAUUUCAUUUUGAACAAUGGAUUCUCGUGUCUAUAAAUCAUUACUAAGGCUAAUUUUUUUUCAACAAAUAGAUGGGUUCUUUCAGUGAGAAUUUGGUUUGGAAACUGGAAAUAUCAAGCAGCAAUUGAGGUGGCCAUGAAUGUCUAGUCCUCAAACUUUAAAACAAUAUUCUUAGAUGAUAAUGUUGCGAAUUUUGGAAAUGAAAGAGAGAGUCGAGCAAAAGGGACAUAGCUAAGUACAUAGAAAGUCAGCACUCGAACCUGCCAUCCACUCACUCGGCGUUGUUGACUCACCAUCUAAAACGGUUGAAGAACAAUGGUCAGGUACUCAUGAUGAAGAACUCUUGCAAGCUUCUUAGAUCUGCUACUGUACAUAGUAUUACAAAAUAUGAGUAUUUUCCAUUUCUUUGAUGACAAAUAUUUUCAUUUCCUUCUUUUAUUUCUUUGUUUGGUAGUUUUCAUUAGAAAUUUAUCAAAACAUAUUAAUUACUGAAUAUUGUUUAAUCUUCCUCCUUCCUUGAAUGCUAUUUUCAAAUACUUUAUAUUGUAUUACAAAAGGUGCACACAUUUCUGAGGUGUUUUGUACGUGCAUAACAAUAUAAUUUCAUCUUGAGAAACAUAUUCUCGUGUUUAUGACUCACUAUUUUAUUAAUCACAAUUGUUUUCAACAAAAAGAGUAGUUUGUACUGUGAGAAUUUGGUUUGGAAACUGAAAAUAAUAAUCUGCAAUUGGGACAUGAAUGUCUAGUCCUCAAACUUUACAACAAUGUUCUUAGAUGAUAACGAUGACAAUUUGGCUAUUGAAGUCGAGCAAAAGGGGGACAUAGGUAAGUACAUACUCAGUACUUGAACCUCCUACCCAUUUGCUUGGCGCACCAUCUAAAACGAUUGAAGAACAAUGGUGUGGUACUCAUGAUGAAGAUUUCUUUGACAUCCUAAUAUUUUUUCAUUUCCUUUUUUGUAGUUCUUUGUUUGGUAGUAUUUGUUACAAAUUUAUAAAAGAGAUUGAUUAAUGAAUACUGUGUUAAUCUUCCUUCUUUCCGUGAAUGCUUUAUAUUGUACUAGAAAAGGUUCACAUAUUUCCAACAUGUUUAGCAGUUACAUAGCUAUAUAAUUUCAUCAUGAGAAACGGAUUAUCGUGUCUAUGAAUCACUAUGUUAUGAGGUACAAUUGUUUUCAACUAAAACAGAGUUUUGACAGUGAGAAUUUGGUUUGGAACUCUAAAUAUUAAUCUGCAAUUUGGGCCAUGCUUGUCUAAUUCUCAAACUUUAAAACAAUAUUUUUAGAUGACAACGAUGGCAAUUUGGAUAUUGAAGGAGAGAGCUGAGCAAAAGGGACAAAGCUAAGUACAUAGAGAGUGAGUACUUGAACCUCUGACCCAUUUGCUUGGCGUUGUUGUCUCACUAUCUGAUAUGGUUGAAAAGCAAUGGUCAGUUACUCAUGGUGGAAAACUCUUGCAAGCUACUUAGAUCUGCUACUGUACCUAUAACUGCAAAAUGCAGUAUUUUCCAUUUCUUUGAUGACAGUAUUUUUCAUUACCUUUCUUGUAUUUUUUUUUUUUUUAAAAUUUGGUAGCUAGUAUUUAUUACAAAUUUAUCAAAAAGAUUAAAAUCUUCUUCAUUUCCUUGAAUUGUAUUUUCAAAUGCUUUAUAUUGUACUAGAAAAUGCACACGAAUUUAGGAUGUGUCCUGCACGUGCCUAGCAAUAUAAUUUCAUCUUGAACAAUGGAUUAUAAGAAUCAUUAUGUUAUGAGGCUCAAUCAUUUUCAACAAAUAGACAGGUUCUUACAGCGAGAAUUUAAUUUGGAAACUGGAAAUACGAAGCUGCAAUUGGGGCGGCCAUGCACGUCUAGUCUUCAAAGUUUACAACAAAAUUUUUAGAUGAUAAUGGUGGAAAUUUGGGCAUUGAAGGAGAGAGUCGAGCAAAAAGGGACAUGGUUAAGUACAUAGGAGUGAGAACUCGAACCUUCCUUUCCCCCUCAUUCCCUCAGCGUUGUUGAUUCACCAUCUGAAAUGGUUGAAGAACAACGGUGAGGUGCUCAUGAUGAAGAACUCUUACAAGUUACAAGCUUCUUAGUUCUGGUACUGUACCCAUUACUGCAAAAUAUGGGUAUUUUCCAUUUCCUUGAUGACAUAGUAUUUUUUUAUUUCUUUAUUAAGUAGUAUUUGUUACAAAUUUAUCAAAAUAGAUUAAUUAAUGAAUAUGUGUUGAUAUUCCUUCUUUCUGUGAAUUCUAUUUCAAAAUGCUUUAUAUUGUUCUAGAAUAGGCACGUGCAUUUCGAUGUGUUGUGCACUUGCAUAACUAUAUAAAUUCAUCUUGAGCAACAGAUUCUUGUGUUUAUGAAUCACUAUGUUAUGAGGUCUCAAUUGUUUUCAAUCAGAGGUUCUUACAGUGAAAAUUUGGUGUGGAAACUGGAAAUAUUAAGCUGUAAUUGGGGCGGCCAUCAAUGUCUAGUCCUCAAACUUUACAACAAUAUUCUUAGAUGAUAAUGGCAGGAAUUUGGGCAAUGAAAGAGAUAGUCGAACAAAAGGGACAUAGCUAAGUACAUACAGAGGCGGUACUUGAACCUGCCACCCAUUCACUCGGUUUUGUUGAAUCACCAUCGGAAAUGGUUGAAGAACAAUGGUCAGGUACGCAUGAUAAAGAAAUCCUGCUUCUUAGAUCUGCUAUUGUACGUGUUACUGCAAAAUAUAAGUAUUUUCCAUUUCUUUAAUGACAUAAUAUUUUUCAUUUCCUUCUCGUAUUUCUUUGUUUAGUAGUAUUUAGUACAAAUUUAUCAAAACAGAUUAAUUAGUGAAUACUGUUUAAUCUUCCCCCUUUCCAUGAAUGCUAUUUUCAAAUUCUUUAUAUUGUAUUAGGAAAGGCGCACACAUUUCGGACGUGUUCUGUACGUGCAUAGCUGUAUAAUUUCAUCUUGAGCAAUAGAUUCUCGUGUCUAUGAAUCACUAUAUUAUGAACGGCAAUUGUUUUUAACAAAAAGAGUGGUUCAUACAGUUUGAAUUUUGUUUCGAAACUCGAAAUAUUAUGCUGCAAUUGGGGGCGGACAUGAAUGUCUAGUCCUCAAAAUUUACAACAACAUUCUUAGCUGAAAACGACGACAAUUUUGCUAUGAAGGAGAGAGUCGAGCAGAAGGCACAUAACUAUGUCUAUAGAGAGUCAGUACUCUGGAGUCUGUACUCAAAUCUCCCACCCAUUUGCUCAGCGUUCUUGACUCAACAUCUAAAACGGUUGAAGAACAAUGGUCAAGUACUCAUGAUGAAGAACUCUAACAAGCUUCUUAGAUUGCUACUGUGCCUAUUACUGCAAAAUAUGGAUAUUUUCCAUUUCAAUGAUCUUAUAGAAUUUUUCAUUUCAUUUUUUUAUAUUUUUUCAUCUGGUAGUAUUUUUUACAAAUUUAUAAAUAGACUAAUUAAUGAAUACAGUGUUUAUCUUCCUCCUUUCAGUGAAUGCUAUUUCAAAUUCUUUAUAUUGUACUAGAAAAGGUGCACAUAUUUUUGACAUGUUUUGCACAAUGAUGCUCGGACUCUCCAAAAAUGGCGAAUUAUCCGUGUCGACACGACAUGACUUUGAUACCGACAUGGGAUAUGUGUCGG
rnacentral:lncRNA from 1 species